GACGGGGGGGGGCAAGUGUUCUUCGGAAUGACUGGGCGUAAAGGGCACGUAGGCGGUGAAUCGGGUUGAAAGUGAAAAGUCGCCAAAAAAGUGGCGGAAUGCUCUCGAAACCAAUUCACUUGAGUGAGACAGAGGAGAGUGGAAUUUCGUGUGUAGGGGUGAAAUCCGUAAAUAUACGAAGGAACGCCAAAAGCGAAGGCAGCUCUCUGGGUCCCUA
rnacentral:rRNA from 1 species